AUACAAGGGAAUUUGGGGCUGGCUGAAACCAGCUCAAGACACCACUUUUCCUUUGCUACUUGAUUCCACAGGGGAGAACAGAAACCUCAAUUAGCAGACAGAAAAAGGAUUUUAUGGAUCAAAACCCUGACAAAAUUUUGGUAGAAGGGAAGAAAGAGGGAGCAUCCAAGAAGAUCCAUCAGGCUGCUCUCAGACUGAAGGACACAAAGAUUGGAGGAAAGGAAGGAUGUGAGCACAAUCACUCAGAGCCACCUUGAGCAGAAGAGAGAGCAAAGCAAAAUGUUCUGGAACAAGAAUCCUAGGACAUGCCUUGGGCAGGGAGCCAGAUGAGCACAAGCAGCUCGCAGAGGAGUGUCCUGCUGCUGUUAAAGAGGAACUGGAGAGGGAUUGCAACACGUCCUUCAACAAAAGCACAGCUGUGUCAGGUACAUUGACUGAAGCAUUGUGCAACAGUAAAAACAAAACUCAGAUUGAGGCACUGACUGAUCCUGAGUGCUACAGUCAUCAGAUUAGAAGAAAUAAAAGUAUGUUUGAAAAAUGCAUAAAAAGCAGGGAGAGAGGAUAAAAAUCAUGAACACCUUGUUCUCCCUGUUCAAAAGUGUAUGAGCCAAACAGCAUUUGCACCUAUUCUGGAGAUCCCAAUUGAAAGGAGUAUUAUUUAUUCAGACACCUACCAGCAAAGAUGUCUCCACAGAACUCUCAGAAGAGAGUGGAAGUGAUGCCCAAAGGAGGAAAUUACUGCAGAAUUUGUUUUUUGACACUGCUUAUCAGGUUCAUGGGUAUUCAUUCCAACAGUUCCCUUGUGCAAAACCUGAUCUAAAGAACAGACUGACCCUUGGAGGCAAAUCAUAAGUAACAUAAAGGCAAAAAAUGUAUUUUUUUGUAAUAAUUUGUACUGGAAGACAACAAUCAAACUAAAUCCCUGCUUCCUCUUAGAAAGAGGGAGAAAUAAUACUUAUUUCAAAACAAAAAAAAAAAAUGUUAGGAUUCAUUGCAGCAAUUGUUCUUCCAGAAAACGUAAUUAUUCCUCACUACCAGGCAUCCUUUGCUCAACCCAGUGGACUAUGGUUCCUGUACAGUUUUCUCUGAGUACCUGUGAAAUUUUCUGAUAGCCAGUUUUAUGGAAUGGGAUUGUACUGGU